rnacentral:antisense_RNA from 1 species
UGUGGGAGCGAGCCUGCUCGCGAUUGCGAUUGUCCAGUCGCCUGAUAUGUCGACUGACAGACUGCAAUCGCGAGCAGGUUCGCUCCCACA